GACGAACGCUGGCGGCGUGCCUAAUACAUGCAAGUAGAACGCAGUUGCGAACGGGUGAGUAACGCGUCGGUAACUGCCUGGUAGCGGGGGAUAACUAUUGGAACCGAUAGCUAAUACCGCAUCCUACCAGAUGGACCUGCGUUGUAUUAGCUAGUUGGUGAGGUAACGGCUCACCAAGGCAACGAUACAUAGCCGGCGUUGGGGGGGUAUCGGCCAAACGGGGAAUUGGGCACGGCCCAAACUCCUACGGGAGGCAGCAGUAGGGGAUCUUCGGCAAUGGGGGGAACCCUGACCGAGGAACGCCGCGUGGGUGAAGAAGGUUUUCGGAUCGUAAAGCUCUUUUGUUAAGGAAGCGGUACUUAACGAGAAAGGGACGGCUAACUACGUGCCAGCAGCCGCGGUAAUAC
rnacentral:rRNA from 1 species